CUGUUUAAGUAGUCUCAAUUAGCAUCUAACCACGGACAACAAGACCCAAACCAUAGGUUUAAAGCUAUAUUGUCGUUUUCAAGGUGCUUUACAGCUUGCAUGAUGUGAUAUCUUGACAGGGAUUGUUUUUCUCACAUAAGUUUUACGCCCACAUAUAUUUCUAUCCCUCUUCGAUUCUGAUUUCUCUUCCUCUCCCUCCCCACCUCUCUUUCGAUCUCUCUCUCUCUCUCAAACAACUUCAACUUCCGUCCAAAUCUCUUUCUUUGUUCUUGUAUUUCAAUAAUCUCGAUGGCAAACUGUAUUUUUUUCUCUAAACCCAUUUUCGGCCAUCCAUUUUUCAUCUUGAGAAGGAGUUAAGAAGUAAGCUUCCAUUCCAAUGCAUGGACAAUAUUCAAAAAUUCAAUAGCUGACACACAUACAAAAGGGGAAAAAUAAGAGCAAAUAGGACUCUAGUUUUUCCAAAUUAUAACUUAUUAUAAUGUUUUGCCAUUAUAAUGUAUAGGAAAAGACAAUAGUAUCUCUGCUUAGAGUCAGCGAAUUUAAUUUGCCACAGUUUUUCUCCAAAAUUUUCAGUUAUUAUGUAAUAGAAUUCAAACAUACACAAAUGGCCACGGA